GACAUAUCUCCCACUCUCUUUAUUCUAGUGAUAGACUUAAGAAAAUGAUAUUGAAAAGCAUUAUACAACCAAUCUUCAAGCAGUUUAGAGUAAGCUUCAGAGUCUCUCUCUUGAAAUCAAUUCAUCUUCAAAGUUGGCACAUUGAAACCUGAGCAAGGUCGGGGUAGUUGCAAAUUCCCCGCCAGGCAGUUACAGUUUAGUUACACUGUUUUGACACCCACCAUCCCAACUGAAGUUCCUGUUAAGUUGAUGAUUAGAAUAUUUGAUAUAUUUGGAUUGAUUAAUGCAGCUUGACAGUGAAGAAUGGCAACAUUUCAGUCUCAACAACAGUGGGAAUGGCGACAGAUAGUGCAGAUUUUAGCGGCUGCAGACAGAUGGCCUGCACAUGGUUUUGGCCUUCCGUUAUCAUUCAUUUGCUCUUCCUGUUUACACUUGAAGGAAAACAGGGUACUGGUUGCUCUGUUUUGUUCUUGUUCUCCCUUCCUAUGCACGAUCUUGUCAACUGUUGAAAAAGGCAAAGGCCUUUUGUUGAGAUUAUACAUUUAUAUGUUUAGAAACUGUUCUGGUUAUUGGAUCUGGAUAUUUUUGAGUGAAUAUUUUUUAUAUUUA